AUGAUCAGCAUUGUUUCCAUGGUGGCUGUGUUGCCGUUUCUAUGGUGAGUGUUGUUCCCAUGGUGAUCUGGCACAAGAAGAGGAAAACAGUGGGAUGGAAAUCAGAAGAAUCUGGAGACUGCUGAUCAUAACCCAGCAUUAGUUCAUCCUGGGAAUUGAAAAUGAGGGUAAAACAAGAAGGGGGAAGAGAAGGAGAGCAACAACUUCCCCUCUGGUAGCGAAGGCUUCUCCUAUCCAUGAAGCAUCCAUCCAUCAUCCAGUCUGACCCACAGCUGAGUCAACAAGCCUCCUGGACCUGGCAGCUAUCCUCAGCCAACCACAGCCAGCAGCCCCAGUCCCAAUCUUCUCCAGCUGCCACCUGCCUCCCUACUUGUCGGCCAAAACACUGCUGCCCAUGCCUGCCUGCCCUGAAGUCAUCCUUCUCCCCCGUCCCUGAGCCUUCCUUUAACCAUAUUUGGGGUUGCCACCACAUUGACUUAAUGCCUUCUGCUCUGGUGGAAUGGAACCACUAGAAGACUUUUAAAAUAAUAUUAUUUCUCCAAAAACAGAUAAACAACUUUUUCCAUAUCCAAACAGGCUGCAAGCACAAUCAGCUGCAUUAGCAUGUAAAGGAACAGAAAUUUCUUUCACUAGGCACAUUACUAAAAGUUACUAAAAUCAUGUCUAUUUCCUGUAUUUUAGGGUAAUCAUCAUACCCUGUGUUCCCAGCCAUAAGAUGCCCUGCCAGAACCUAUCCGGCUUGUGUGUCCUAAUUGUAAAAAUGCCAAUUUGAUCUCAAGAAAUCUGAUUUCAUGUGUCUACAUUUUCGAAUUCCAAACUGUUUUACAAAUAGGUGAAGAUAGCUGGGAUUAGUCUUUGACAGAGGAUACCAUUGGGUGUUAUUGCAGGAUAGGGUUGUAAGUAAGAUAAGGGAAAGAAUUAUCUUUUUAAUGAUUUUGUAGAAGAGGGAAUUUCAGCAAGGUAUUGCUUGCUUAAUUAAAAUUACAAAUUCAAAAUCACCUAUAUUAUUAAAACACAAGUUAAAACUACCUAAAACACCACACUGAAAUAAAGAAGCACCAAUAUGUUGAAAAGGCAAGCUCAUCUGGUCAUAACGGAUAUCAGAUACAGUCAUCAGCAACUGAUUUGAAUGGGCCUUAUACUAAACACAUAGCUUUGAUGACUGAGACCCCCGCCUUUAAAUUCAUCUGACUGCGGAGGGUUCCACAGAUCCGGAUCAUCAACCGAAGGAAAAACGCGCAGACCACAACGAAUUAUUAUUAAUUUCUUUUAUCACUCCCCCCCCCAGUCCUAACAUUGUAACUAAUCCCCCAAUAAAAGUAUCCUUUCUUUUAACUUGAAGCUCUCUCCAGUGGUUAUUUUGUAUCCCUUUUUCUGGCCUCUCUGCAUGCAAAACCUUUCUCCUAUCUUCUACUAACCCAGCCGCCGUUCAACUCUGGCGGGAAGCCUCCUGAGCUCUCCCUGCCAUUGCGUAACAUGGUGAACGGAACAACUUGACCCAUAACUUUACCAAAAAUACUCCAAGCAUGCCCAUCUUUUAUAUCUAACACUUUUGGAAGCCCCUGGUUCCGGGACCACCAACAGCGCCAGAAUCGGUCCAGUUUAAAACUUCGGAUCAGCUGAUUGUCAGAAAGCCGGCUCCGAUCGCUCUUUUACAGCCGCAGCCGCUUCCCGGCUCCCACGGCUGACGGAUUGCCUUUGCAGGGACACAAGCUUCUCCCAGGGCUGCUGGUAGUGGACUGCCAUCUCCCCUGGAAGGGAAAUGUAGUUUCCUCAAGGACCAGCUGUGAUCUCUACUGCGGAAAGAGCUCCCGGAUGAAUUUCUCCUAUUCAUUCAUCUUCAUUUUUAUGAAUGACCGGACUUCUCAUUCAUAUACAAGAACAGAGAUCAACAGGAAAUCUUUCACUUUAUUAUUUUUAUGAACUUCCAAUUGCCUGAGCUGUUUAUGAACUUUUCAUGAAUUGUAUGCUUAUAUGUUUAUGAAAUAUUGGAAUCAAUUCUUUAUUAACUGUUUAGCCAAAUGUAAUUUGGUCUAUAGAUCCCCUGGAAGAUUCCCAAAUUCAUAUAUUUCCCCUUUUUAUAUAUUAUAUUACAAAAAAAGGAAACCGGGUUUACUCUCCGCUUUAAAGCCGGAGAGAACCUGAAUUUCAUCCCGGUCCCCAGGAAACCCGCAAUAUGGCCAGAUUGUUUACCCACACCUCCCCCCCAGCCUAUACUUCCACUCAGAACUCACUCAAUUUCACAUCAAAAAUCACCCUUUUCCAUAUUUAUGCCUAUAAUCGCCUAGUCUUUAAAAUACAACCAGCAGAAACCAUUUUUGACCAUUUUUCCUCAGCUCAUCAGCUGAUUGUCAGACAGCGCUCUUUGUGUAAAUAGCCUCCCGAUCAGCGCUAUUAGCGCAGGGAGGGAAAAUGAGCUAUAAGUGUUAAUAUUUAAUACUUUUUUUGGUAGUUUCGGGGUGAAAUGGCUAUAAUAUGAUUCUCUGUAUUCCCUAGUAUAUUUCAAUCAAAGAAGGCACAGUCUGAACUCUAGCUGACCCGGAAAUCCCUGCCUUUCCUCACCCUAGAUUCUGGGCUUCGCACAAAAGAGGAUAAACUGUCACCAUGAAAUCUUAUCUAUUUUGCAUCUGCAUGACCCAUAGCUAGAGAUUGUCACCUUAGAUCGGAGCAGCCCCAUGGGUGAUUGUAUCUCAUAUGGUAAUGUUGACCACAAUCCCAUCCUGGACCCCUGGGGAGCCAAAGGAAGACUCCCCACUGGUCCUGUCUCCGUAAUCCCAUAGUGUCAAUAUAAACUGACAUCUCCACCAUACCUCAAGGUAUUCAUGAACUGUGUACGUGCAUAAAGGACCCUGGACAUCCCAAAUGACCUUAUUCAAAAAACAGCAAUAAUCUUAAGAUUAUCCUGGAAGGCGCUAGCCUUGGGUGAUUGCUUUGCAUGAGAUAACUCCAAUGAUUCAUUCACCAGAACCCAUUGUCUAGCUGACUCCCGCCUUCCCCAACCUGAUUGGCCCUGGCAGAGGCGAGGGUUGCUCCUCAUUGGCUCAGGGCACAGAGCGGGAAGCCCAACUCCCGCCUAGUGCGGCGCCCUUGCCCAAUCAGCAGCCAGAUGAGCGGAGGGACGGGGCGGGAAGUUCAAACAGACUUCAAACUUGAAAAUGUAUAAAAUGGCUUUAUUUCUCAAUGUAAAAUUACAUCUUGCAUGUCGAUCUAUCGCUGCUGAAUGUCCGUUCAGCUGAAUCGCUAAAUAAACACUUUGGCAGUUUUUUUCCUUCAA